rnacentral:rRNA from 1 species
AUUGAACGCUGGCGGCAGGCCUAACACAUGCAAGUCGAGCGGGGUUUUCGGACCUAGCGGCGGACGGGUGAGUAAUGCGUAGGAAGCUACCCGAUAGAGGGGGAUACCAGUUGGAAACGACUGUUAAUACCGCAUAAUGUCUACGGACCAAAGUGUGGGACCUUCGGGCCACAUGCUAUCGGAUGCGCCUACGUGGGAUUAGCUAGUUGGUGAGGGAAUGGCUCACCAAUGCGACGAUCCCUAGCUGGUUUGAGAGGAUGCUCAGCCACACUGGAACUGAGACACGGUCCAGACGCCUACGGGAGGCAGCAGUGGGGAAUAUUGGACAAUGGGCGCAAGCCUGAUCCAGCCAUGCCGCGUGUGUGAAGAAGGCCUUCGGGUUGUAAAGCACUUUCAGUAGGGAGGAAGCGUUGUGUGUUAAUAGUACACAGCGUUGACGUUACCUACAGAAGAAGCACCGGCUAACUCUGUGCCAGCCGCCGCGGUAAAAC